UACGUAGGGUGCAAGCGUUAAUCGGAAUUACUGGGCGUAAAGCGUGCGCAGGCGGUCCGUUAAGUCAGAUGUGAAAGCCCCGGGCUUAACCUGGGAACUGCGUUUGAAACUGGGAGACUUGAGUGUGGCAGAGGGGGGUGGAAUUCCACGUGUAGCAGUGAAAUGCGUAGAUAUGUGGAGGAACACCGAUGGCGAAGGCAGCCCCCUGGGUUAACACUGACGCUCAUGCACGAAAGUGUGGGGAGCAAACAGG
rnacentral:rRNA from 1 species